GCCGAAAUAGCUCAGUUGGGAGAACUUUAGACUGAAGAUCUAAAGUCCUGGUUGCAUUCCCGGGUUUCGGCA